GCAAGAACGUAGAUGGUACAGACGGGAUGACAGAAUAAAAUCCAUCAUGCCCUGAGUCCUCCAGGCUUCCACACCGGUUGGUUUCCAUCACAAAUUCUACAAUAGAAAUGAUAUGCUGACUGAUCCAUAAUGUGUUUGUACAUGUGUGUAGUAGUCAGAGUAGUGUGUGGUGUUUAGUGUUUGUAUUGGUCCAUACGUUCAUUAUAAUCGUCCUGUUGGGCCUGAGGACUAUAAAAAGAAAAUAAAUGCAUAAAUUCUUUUUUGGAAAAACAUAUUUCAUCAUGGACAACAACACAGGAAAAGUUUAUUAAAAAACUGCAUAAUAAAAUAUCCACAAGGGGAAUUCUUACCUCUGAGAUUUGUUUCUUUCUGGAAAACAAAUUAGGUUUAAUGUAUUAUACUGAACAUACCCUUGUCUCUAAAACAGAACCAAAGGGACGAGAUGGAGUAAUUCAAGUCAUAGACACUUACAUUCAUGAAAAAGGUACAUGUCUGCAAAAGAUUUAACAUUCAUCUGAAGUACUCACUGGUCUUCCUAUAGAGACAGACAGCUGUCAAUCCCACCAGGAAUACACCCACUCCAGAAGCCAGACCCACUGCUGUAUGCCAUCGAUUCAAUUUUUGGGGACAUUGGCAGAGUUCAUUAUGUGUUAAUCACACAUGUUCAUGGAGUGUCAGUUAGGGUUUCUACACAUUGAGACCGGGAAGAACCCCUAUAAGUUCAUCCAAAAACACAAGUUCUUCCAUUAAAUGUUUAAAAGAACCCCUUUAUAAUGGUUCCUCAAAGAACCAUCUGAAGAACCUUUUGGGGUUGAUUUUUGAGCGGGUAGGUUUUUCAUAAGCUUCUUUCAGUAACAAGUAUUGAGUGUUCAGGCAGUCUGGUGAAUUUGCAAACCUGCAGUUCUGCCCUGUCCCUUACCUUAUAGGAUCUCAGUUAUUAUUAUAUGCAUAGAUGUAGAAAUGUUUGGAGAUGUUUUUCUGUGAAGCCACUUUUGAAUUGGUUGGGGAAUAUACUUACAUUUCAGUGAUCUACAGCUAUAUUUAAUUCCAUGGUCAUAAACAUCGGUUUUGAUUUUGUUUCAUAUAAAAUACCACAUGAUGACUAAAAAUAAUUUGUCCUUGCUUUAAAUUGUUUAUUUUCCCAACAUUCCACAAUACAAAAGGGCCGUCAGAAAACAGUAUGCAGUUACAAUUCACAGUAUUAAUAGUUAUUUAAAAUUCCCGUUGACAUUUUUCUUUGAAGAACUUAUAGGACUUCCACCACAGUUUCAAAUGAAAGUAUAAUUCAAGAAAAAAAAAUUGGUGAGCAGCGUCAAUACAUAAGAACGGUCAUGUUUUAGAAGACCACCUUGUUAUUGUCUGGUUAAAUGUUUCUGAAAAGACAGUCAGCUAGAGAAGGAUACUUACCCAAGUUGUUGUCUGGGUUGGGUUUCACCACAUUUUCUGUGG
ensembl:lncRNA